rnacentral:rRNA from 1 species
AGCAUAUCAAUAAGCGGAGGAAAAGAAACCAACAGGGAUUGCCUCAGUAACGGCGAGUGAAGCGGCAACAGCUCAAAUUUGAAAUCUGGCCCUAGGCCCGAGUUGUAAUUUGCAGAGGAUGCUUUUGGUGCGGUGCCUUCCAAGUUCCCUAGAACGGGACGCCAGAGAGGGUGAGAGCCCCGUACAGUUGGACACCAAGCCUUUGUAAAGCUCCUUCGACGAGUCGAGUAGUUUGGGAAUGCUGCUCAAAAUGGGAGGUAUAUUUCUUCUAAAGCUAAAUACCGGCCAGAGACCGAUAGCGCACAAGUAGAGUGAUCGAAAGAUGAAAAGCACUUUGAAAAGAGGGUUAAACAGCACGUGAAAUUGUUAAAAGGGAAGCGCUUGUGACCAGACUUGCGUCCGGUGAAUCACCCAGCUCUCGCGGCUGGGGCACUUCGCCGGCUCAGGCCAGCAUCAGCUCGCUGUCGGGGACAAAAGCUUCGGGAACGUAGCUCUCUUCGGGGAGUGUUAUAGCCUGUUGCACAAUACCCUUCGGCGGGCUGAGGUACGCGCUCCGCAAGGAUGCUGGCAUAAUGGUCAUCAGCGACCCGUCUUGAAACACGGACCAAGGAGUCAACCUUAUGUGCGAGUGUUCGGGUGUCAAACCCCUACGCGUAAUGAAAGUGAACGCAGGUGAGAGCUUCGGCGCAUCAUCGACCGAUCCUGAUGUUCUCGGAUGGAUUUGAGUAAGAGCAUAUAGGGUUGGACCCGAAAGAAGGUGAACUAUGCGUGUAUAGGGUGAAGCCAGAGGAAACUCUGGUGGAGGCUCGCAGCGGUUCUGACGUGCAAAUCGAUCGUCAAAUAUGCGCAUGGGGGCGAAAGACUAAUCGAACCUUCUAGUAGCUGGUUCCCCAU